CCCUCAAAGUGCUUUGGAUGCUGCUGUUGUGACGCACUGAACAGGUUGCCCAAGGAGGCUGUGGAUGCCCCAUCCCUGCAGGCAUUCAAGGCCAGGCUGGAUGUGGCUCUGGGCAGCCUGGUCUGCUGGUUGGCGACCCUGCACAUAGCAGGGGGUUGAAACUGGUUAAUCAUUGUGGUUCUUUUCAACCCAGGCCAUUCUAUGUGUACUUUCAGACUGCGUGUAGUAGCUGCAUUAAUGAUUCCUCACACAGUGUUUACUGAAUGCAUUCUGACAGCUGCUCUGUACUUCCCAGUGGAACUGCCCCAACUAAAUCAGUACUUCUCAAGUGAAAAAUGCUGUCUCCAAAAAUGAACCAAGUGUGCUUGGGUGAGGGAGCGCAGGAACAGGUUAUCCAGGGAGGUGGUGGAGUCUCCUUCAAUGGAGAGAUUCAAGACCCAGCUGGACGCUGACCUGUGAGAGCCAUCGCAGGGAGCCUGCUUCAGCAGGGAUGGACUUGGUGUUGUCUGGAGGUCCCUUCCAACCCAUUGCCAUUUGGUGAUCCUGGAUCAGGACAGAUGUGUACUGCACUCAUCCACAGCUAACUCAGCGGCUGCCUUUUCAGUUCGUAAUAUCUUGUCAGUGCUUUUGCUAAUGCCCUCUCUUUUCAGAAGCUGACUUUUAAUAGUGUAUAUAUAUGUAUAUUAAUAUAUAUAUAUAUAUAUAUUUUAAAGAGGCAUUACAGCUCAGUUCAUGCCUGCCCCAAAAUUCACACAAAUUAAUCUCUUUGUCAGCGAGCUUUUGGCAGGGUUUCCAGGGCGCUGAUUGUGAAAGCCAGAACAAAUUCUCAUUAUUUUUCCUUUUCCUCUUGUUUUUAACCGAAGUUGUUUUCAUGUCAGAAUUUCUUUCUCACCUAUGCAGGGAAUGAAAUGUUGCCAAAAUAAGGUUUCUAUUAACACAGUGAACUUAAAGGUCAGGAGACUGCAGUGCUUCUCUUCACUGCCAAGGGCGCUGCAGCCCAUUUGUGUUGAGAAUCUGAUACUGGUCUCUAUUGCUCAAGAUUAAAGCAAAGACAGAGCAGCUGAAAAAAAGAAAGAGUUCCAAAUUUUAUUUAUUACUCCUCAUAGAUAUAAAUUAUUCUGGUGCCCAGAAACUUGGAAAGCUACGCAGUGACAGCUGCUUGCAUGUGUCCUCAAACUGAGAUGGUCCUCAUCCCUGAGAUCUGUGCAGUCCAUGAAAUCCCAGAUGCAAACGCUCCUUUCUAAGCUGCCUUUGGUGCAGGCACACGGACAAGGAGGAAGAGUUACAGUUCUUCAGUUUUGGGAAUCAGGCCUGGUUAUUUGCUCUCUCUCAGGAUUUGGAGGCCUACGUAAAGUUGAGUCCGUAGCUGACCUCAGACCCUCAGCAUCGUUAGCAGUGCCACCAUUGGGAGCCCCACCAGGGAGUUCAGUAGGACCAAAGUCUAAGCAGCCUUCUGCAAAUUCAGGAGUCAGUCUGUUCAUGCUAGGACUGAAUAAUGCUUUUCUUCACUAAAGUGCCAUAUAGUCUUCAGUUACUUCAGUCUGCCACUGACCCAGCCCCAGCUUUGGAUGUCCUGAACUCCUGCUCGUCUCAUUACUAACACUUUCCCUUUCAAAUCAAUACCUUCUUCAGGUGGUAACUCUUUAAAUCCUUCGUUGUUCAUGGGCAAGUGUGGGUGAUCCUGACAUGGCUGAGCUCUCGUAACAGAAACCCACUCUACUAAGAGGAGUGAAGCUGUCAAAGCAUACUUCCCACGUACAAACAGGAAUACAGUUUCUCUGCAUGUCGAUUAUUGUUUUUAGCUGUAAGAGUUGGUUUUUCCAUUCAUAACUCUUUUGUUGGUUUGAAUUUCUUUCUUUCUGGUGUCCUCAGUUUUUCCUCUGCACAUAGAAGCUGCUUUUAUUUCUGUAGACUCUUUAGAAACCAAUACAUUCAUCUGUAGCUAGCAAUUCAAGAGCAUAUUUAGCCAAGCGGUGUGUUCUUCGUUAUUACCUUGCAGAGUGACCUCUUAGAAGCAAAGAACGCAUUGACAUUUACAGUUAAUAAUCUAUUGAUUUAUGGUACAAAACAAAGGCAAUCAACGGGAGAGCUGUAAUUGUUUCAUUAAGUCUCACGAACAGCACAUUGUACAUUGAUCCACGGUGUCUCAGAGCUGCAGCUUUACAAUGUCAUGACUCUCCCUUAUUUUUCAGUUUGCUGGCACCUCAAAGUGCUUUGGUAGCCUCACAGUAUCCCACCGUUUUGAGUCAUGCUGUGACUGUGUGCCAGGUGAGCUACUGUCAAACGUGGUCAACCGAGCGCAGGAGGGCUUCAUACCCUUACAGAGGUGCUGAGAACUUUAGAGGGCACUUCUCUUAAAGGUAAGAUCAUGAAAAUCAAAUGUGUAAAAUACACUUUGCAGUUGUAUGCUGUGCUCACACUCCAGAUGUGUUACAUCCCUAAAGUCGCUCUUUGGAAAUAGGGAUGAAAGCAUUGUGGCUUUGCUGUAUGGAUGUAAGGAGUGCUCUCCUUUCUUGCUAAUGAGAGAGGGCUGUUCUGUUCUCUCACACCUCAACACAUUUAAACCCCAGUUGCUUCACUUUAGAAAAUGCCCCAACCUUCAUGUGUUGACACAAGAAUGUGUCUACUGGGGAUUUAAGUCUCAGGUCUCCUUUAGCUCCAUUAUUUUUCUCUCUGGAGUUGACACUGCAGAAGGAGAUGGGUGUCUGUUGCUGAUGCUCUGGCCUUCAGCCAGCCUGAGGUCACUUCUGAAGAGGUUCCACAGAGAGCAAUCAUUCCUUCAUACUCUGCCUCAAGCAGAAAUGAUGCAGUAGUUUGGGAGGCCAGCAGUCUGUCCUCAGCAGAGGUCCUGCAGUCACUCCUGCUAUGUUCUAAUGGUUGGAUACUUCAUGAAAAGUUUCAUUCUGAUAUAACAAAGAGGUUUUCCUGCUCCUGUUCUGGCCGGCACCUGGAAUCCUUUUCAAACCUCUCUGUACCACUGUUUGUUAGUGUAUUUCAUAGUAAAAUGAAGGUUACAGCCUCCCAAACUAUACAGUGGUGCUGCAAAUGCAACACCUACCUGUCUUUGCACCUUGUUUUUUUCUGGAUAGGAAGCUUUUCUGGAUCAAUGAAUAACCCUGUACUGCAGCAGAAGUACGGAGUGCCUGCAGCUCUGUAAAGGUUAAACCUGGGGCGCAGCAUGGAUUUAUAAGCUCAAGAAUUUGUCUUAAUCAUAGAACAAUUCUGCAUUUUCAGAUAGCCCUCAUAUGGCUGUUUUUUUCCUUCUCCAAACCUGUGAUGGUAACUUUGGUGUGUCUGAUCAAAGGUAAAGACUUUGGUCUUUAACUGAAGACCAUAAAGAUCUUACCACGCUUCUCAGAAAUUUUACCUGUAGGAGUAAGUGUGAUGUCUCCCUUUUCUUGCUGAGUUAAUCCUUGUAUUUGUAAAGGAGUGUAAUAACAGGAAAGGAAAGGCCAUGAGUUACCUGUGGUAUUUAUUUUGCUGCUAAUAUGAACAAGGGAAAAUGGAAGGCUUUGCACUCCAACCAGUUUUGUAAUCUGCCUGCCAUUUUAAGUAAGGGUUUCGUGUUUUGGGUAAUGAGGCUUUUCGCAAUAGAUGUGGUCAGGUCAGCUUGAAUCCCUCCAGCAAAAUGGCCAGAGCAGCCACAGCUCUUCUCAUACCAUUGGUACAAACCUUCAAGAAGCUUCUAAUGAUUCUGAUGUUUAUAGCUUGGAAUAUUUUGCACACAUGUUCCAACUUUGCAUUCACAACAUUUGCUAAACCAACAGUCUGCAGCAGACAUGAUAGCUACCAUCAGGAAACUUGUUUGACAGUUUAAACAGACAGCAUCUGUGUUUCCUACAUUUCAUAGUACACAAAGAGAAUGAGAAUUGCCUGUAGCUCAAUUAAUUCAAGAUGUUGUCAUAGGAUGGGGCUGUGUUUUGGAGAUGUUAGAAACGUCUAAUUGAAAAAAGGAAUUUUGCUCUCGUAUUUGGCUGAGUUUCAUCAAUAUCACCUCCUCAGUGGGAUAUUGCUGAGAGCAGUUGGCUUCAGUUUGGGGAAGGAGGAUAAAUUGGCGUACAUCAGGGCUGCCCUCCUGCACUUCCAGCUACCUCUUUGUUGAGAGCAAAGGUGGCAUUUUCCCAUUCCAAAGCAAAGUAGGGACUUGAAUUGGGUACUACUUGAGCAUCUUUUGAAAUCAAAGCAAAAUAAUCACCGUUAUUGACAGAAGGGCAGACAGAACCAGAAUUAUGCUAAAUGCACCACACAUCAAAGUGUUACCCAGCAAGAGCAGCAGGCAGCUGAGGACAGCACAACCUGCUGGCAAUGGGCAUUUCUUGUAGCACCAUACUUGGGCUCAUGGAGCACAUGAACGGAUGCUGAAAGCUCCAUAGAAAGAAAAAGUGAUGCUGGACCACUUAGCAGAUCCGUUUAUCAAUGUGUCUGGAAGAAUUUCAAGUAAGGUAAGACAGUAAUGAAGUUGGAGCCAAGACAGCAUCAACUGGGUUUGAGUAAAGAAGAGGUUGAAAAGAGAAGUCGGUGCCUUUUCCCUCAGCUCCUAUCAACUCCCAAAGAAAUAAAAUGAAAAGCCAGCAGCUGACCAUGGUGGCACACGUGACUGGCACACUCAACCUGGGGGAAGUGCACACAAUGAACCCCUUUCCUGGUUGAAUAGGCUCGCAGAAUGUCAACCCAUUUCCCCAGACAGCUGGGACAUUUCGGAGUCAUUCUGUAUCCUUUUAUUGCCGUUGCCAUGGUGAAAGACACUAAUUCACCUUUGUGCAAAACUUAAUAAAAAUCGGCCCAUCAUUCAUUUGUCUGUGGACCAUCGGAAGGGCUUGUGCUGAAUUUUUGAGACAGGCUUUUCACAAUCUAUUAAUCCACUCACUGAAGAGUUGGUUGUCUCAGUCUCUUGUGCGGGAUCUUUGUGGAGCACCAAGAGUGUCUGUAGUUGCCUUUGUCUGGAAAUGGGCAAAAGGCAGCUCGUUACCGUGGUUCAGCUGAAGUGCCAAAGUUAUCCUUGGGCUGAGCCUUCUUCAGUCUUAUGAGGAGAAUGGAGCUGUCUGGGGAAGCCUGUGAAUUGCUAAAAGGGCUGGAUUGCUCUGGCACUAAUCGGAAAUAGGCUUUUAUUGGCUCAAUUAAAAGGGGUGAAGUUGUGCAGUAACUGUGAAAUAUAACAAUAAUAAUGAUAGAAUCAUAUCAUAGAAUGGCCUGGGCUGAAAAGGACCACAAUGAUCACCCAGUUUCAACCCCCUGCUAUGUGCAGGGUCGCCAACCACCAGACCAGGCUGCCCAGAGCCACAUCCAGCCUGGCCUUGAAUGCCUCCAGGGAUGGGGCAUCCACAGCCUCCUUGGGCACCCUGUUCAGUGCGUCACCACCCUCUGGGUGAAAAACUUCCUCCUCAUAUCCAACCUAAACGUCCUCUGUCCCAGUUUAAGACCAUUCCCCAUAAUACUGAAAAAGUUGUAAGAAUAAAAAAAGCUUCUCACAUUCAGCCAAACGUGGCAGUUCCCACCUUAGGGCAGAGCCCUCACCCCAAAACCCAGACCCAAACCACACUGGGCAUUCACUGGCACAGCCGAGCUGUGGCCGUCCCCGGCCGCGGUGGGGAUGCCGCAUUGUGCUGCGGGCAUCAAUGCUCUCAAUGGGAUUAGGCUGCAGCAGGGCCGAAAGGCUGUGGGAAAACCUGCGUGUGUCGUGGUUCCCUCGGCUGCCGUCGCAGUAGAACGUCGCCGCUCGGCCAACAAUGGGGUUAAAAAGUAAGAGCAACUGUUGGUGGGGGCUUGGUUUUGAAUUAUGUAUUCAUGAAUCUGCAUAAUGGCCUUUCAGCUGUGGCAUUGUUGCUGGCAACACAAUCUGGGAAUUGUGAGAAGAGACGGAGGGGUGAGGAAUGGAGAGGGGGAAAACGUGGAAAAAACUAAGGCUUAAUCAAAGGAGAGUGACAAACUGAAUGAAAUGAGAUUUUCUUCCCUGCUUACGCUGUGCCUAAGAAACAAGUCUUCAGCUGGAAAUGCUGACUGCUCUCACAAACUAAUAAUCCUUCUGCUUUCCCUCUGGCUGAUGGCUUAGGUCCCUAGGAGGGAGUGGAGCGAUGCUGUAAGCGCAGGCGUUGUGCCUGCUGAUCCCCGAGCACAACUGGAUCUUCCUGUCUCUUACACAAGGAGGACGAGCAAUAGAGCACCUAAUCCCUGCGGGUCCCAAUCACUGCGGAGAAGGCGUUGUAGGUACUAAAACUACAGCACAAAGCCCUUGGCUUGGCAUACUGGGGAUUUACUGCUGGGAGAUGAUUAACAUUACUGAGGUAAUUUUAAAUUAAAUGAAGGAAACCAUAGCAUCAAGCCAUAGCACUUCCAAAUAAUUUUUGUAAUGGAAUAGCAUGUCUCGAUGUCUGUGACCUGUUUGAUUUCUCUUAGGCUGGAUUUUUAAUUUUAUUUAACCAGUGCAUGAAACAGUAUAUCCAGAAGCCCAAGAUGUCAUUUUUGGAAAGGUAUGAAUACCUCCUUGGCAAUGCUUGAGAGGAAAAAUGUAGGUAGGUUGUAGGGCACAGGCCAAAAAGCUUGUCACUUUGGAUGCAGAAAAUGAGGUCACUAUUAAUAUUUUUUUCUGCUGUUUUUAAUCAGAUUGGUGGAUAAAAUGCUAUCCAGAAUAGCACGUUGAUGGUGUAAUUUGUGUUUUCUGCCCAUUGAAUAUCGACCCGCUUCUGAUUGAUUUUAAGAAAGGAAGGAGAUGCAAAAUGAAGAGGACAAGUCAUAAAAUAGUCUCAGUCUCACAGUGCUUUUUUGUAGGCACUGUUAGUGUAGGCAGUAUGUUUUCCAUAAACACAUGGUUCAUACAUGAGAUUUUUGAACGUUGCAUUUCUGUUGCGCAACAACAUAUGAGUGAAAGUAAUCAAAUUGCAGUGACUUUAAUUUAUAUUGUCUUUCUGCAGAAAAGCAGAAGGAGUUCCAUGGCAGCUGCUUUGGGAAGCAGCACUUGGUUGUUUUUGUCUGCUAAUGCCUAGGCUGAAUGAGAGCAGCAACGCUCCAAAGAAAAUGGUGCUUUUCCCAUGGUGUUCAUAGAGAAUUGUGAUUCAUUGAGCCAAAUGCAGUGAAGGAGAUGGAUUUCAUUCUAAUCGUAUAACUUAUUGACUUGUCAAGUAAUUGACUCAUUUUUUCCCCAUUUUUUCAUGCCAUUCUGGUUGUGUGUUUGCUCAUGGCCCCGUGACAGGCGUAGAAGCAGUGAAGAGCAGGUGAGGCUUCUUAAGAUGUUUAACGUUGAGAGUUAAAGUGUAAACCCAUUUGGAUUUAGGUAAGACUUUGAGGGUCUUCGGUAAUGAAGAAAAUGAGCUAGACAGGAAAAGUAAAUACUUUGUGGUGUAAGAGUGCCAGUGUCCAUUUAAAAGCCCAAGCUCUGCAAUCCAUACAGGAUUGAACAAAUAAUUCUUUCCUUCUUUCUGUCACUGAAUCGCCUCUUUCUGUGUUAGCCCUUCUGCUCCGUGUUGACUCAAAGCCACCUCUUGUGCCUGGCGCUCUUGACACUCCCCUCACUGCCACUCCACGCUGUGACAGAUCUACCCCUGGUUUCGACAUCGAGCAUCAGGCCCCAGUGAAAAGCAUUCUGCAGCGUGAGCAGAAACUGCCUGGCUGUGGUAUUUCCUCUGCGUGCCUUGCAUCUCUAGCAUUAUGGCUCGGCUCUCCUCCUCCGCAGUUAUCGCAUCCCGUAUUUCUCCAUAGCCAAUUCCCAGAUGUACUCAGCCUGCAGCUGACUUUGUGCUGUUCCUGGGCAGCAGCUGGAUGGCUGUCCUUUGGUUUCAAGGUGAUGGCACGACAGUCACGGCCCUUUGUUCUGAUGUGACUUGUAAAUACACUCAGGUGCCAUUUUGACAGGGGAAGAACAGUUUAAAAAGUGCAAGUCAGCUUGGCAGGGCAUGAGUUGUUCUGCUGGAGCUGCUGUCUUUGUUAGGGAGGGAGAAGAGCUUCAGAAAAGACAGCUACCGUAGCAUGCAUUUCCUGACAUCCCCAUUACACGUGCAAAUUCAGAUGACCGUGUUUGUUGGUACCUGGGGCUGUGUAUAGCUGGAGUUGGAUCUGACCUUGUACUGCGAUUCACGUGUGCUCACGCAACCUUGGUGGCUGAGGGCAGGACUUAGCACACCGUGGCUGGGAAAAAGCCAAAAUGAGGGCUCUCAUACUCAGUCGUACUUAUCUUUCCAAAGACUCUCUAUGUCCUGUGUGUGAAUUUGGCCCCUCGUCUUUGCAGGUAGAGUAAUACUGGCUUACAUACAUACCUUUGAUAUUUUGCAAAGGUUCUCAUCUGUCCUACAAUGCCAUACAUUUACAGCUUGAGGAGCAACUUAAAGAUCCACACUGUGGAUUCUAAUAGCACUGUGUUUUUUCCCAGAUUUCCACGCUGUUUAAUAAGCAAGUUGACUUUACACAGACCUUAAAUCCUGUCUGCAGUGUUUAAUGAAGAACUGGGAUCUGCUGCAGUUCCUCUGAUCCUUUGUACUGCAGUUUUGGAAGGUGGAAUGAAUUCCACAGUAACCUUCAAAGGCAGAGUGGCUGAUGGAGAGCCCUGGCUGGAGGAUGUGUCUGGCUGCUUCAUUUACGUGCAGAGACACUAGAUCAACACCUGCAGAACACAGCUAGAAAUGAAGACUGCGUAUUGCAACAUUCCCUUCCUGCAGCUCGCGGUGCGCAGGGAUAGACGGGCUGUCAGCUUCUGUUGCAGCCACAGAAUAACUCACCAUCUGGGUUUUGUUUUUAAUUUAAAUGCUAGAAAUAGACCUGAACCAAACCUGUGGUCCCAGGUCCCAUGAGGGUUGCUAGAAAUUCUUCUGAGUUAAAUAAUUAAAUAAACAAAAGUUAUUUAAUCUCUCAGUAGAAACCCAUUGAGCAGUGCAUGUGUCUGACAUGAGCAGCUACCCGCUCAUGACCUCAUUCCUUCCAGUCCCUUCUCUGUUAGCACUUGUUUGUUGUCACAGCUCAGAUCUGUACCAUAAUUUCUUCGGGGCAAGAACUGCGUAUGUUUGUCUGGUA
ensembl:lncRNA